AAAGGGUGCGCAGGCGGAAGAUCAAGUCAGCGGUAAAAUUGAGAGGCUCAACCUCUUCGAGCCGUUGAAACUGGUUUUCUUGAGUGAGCGAGAAGUAUGCGGAAUGCGUGGUGUAGCGGUGAAAUGCAUAGAUAUCACGCAGAACUCCGAUUGCGAAGGCAGCAUACCGGCGCUCAACUGACGCUCAUGCACGAAAGUGUGGGUAUCGAACAGGAUUAGAUACCCUGGUAGUCCACACAGUAAACGAUGAAUACUAAUUGUUCGGGGAGAAUGAUCCCUGAGUGAUACAGCGAAAGCGUUAAGUAUUCCACCUGGGGAGUACGCCGGCAACGGUGAAACUCAAAGGAAUUGACGGGGGCCCGCACAAGCGGAGGAACAUGUGGUUUAAUUUGAUGAUACGCGAGGAACCUUACCCGGGCUCAAACGCAGGCUGACGGGUCCCGAAAGGGGCCUUUCUUCGGACAUUCUGCGAGGUGCUGCAUGGUUGUCGUCAGCUCGUGCCGUGAGGUGUCGGCUUAAGUGCCAUAACGAGCGCAACCCCUGUCCACAGUUGCCAGCAGGUAAAGCUGGGGACUCUGUGGAGACUGCCGGCGCAAGCUGCGAGGAAGGCGGGGAUGACGUCAAAUCAGCACGGCCCUUACGUCCGGGGCGACACACGUGUUACAAUGGCAGGUACAGCGGGAUGCCACGGGGCGACCCGGCGCUGAACCCGAAAACCUGUCUCAGUUCGGAUUGGAGUCUGCAACCCGACUCCAUGAAGCUGGAUUCGCUAGUAAUCGCGCAUCAGCCACGGCGCGGUGAAUACGUUCCCGGGCCUUGUACACACCGCCCGUCAAGCCAUGGAAGCCGGGGGUACCUGAAGUGCGUGACCGCGAGGAGCGCCCUAGGGUAAAACCGGUGACUGGGGCUAAGUCGUAACAAGGUAACCGUAA
rnacentral:rRNA from 1 species